GACGAACCGAGCGAACGUUAUUCGGAAUCACUGGGCUUAAAGGGUGCGUAGGCGGGCCGUCAAGUCAGGGGUGAAAGCCUCCAGCUCAACUGGAGAAGUGCCUCUGAUACUGGCGGCCUCGAGCGAGGUAGGGGCGUGCGGAACUUCCGGUGGAGCGGUGAAAUGCGUAGAUAUCGGAAGGAACAUCGGUGGCGAAAGCGGCGCGCUGGACCUCUUCUGACGCUGAGGCGCGAAAGCCAGGGGAGCGAACGGG
rnacentral:rRNA from 1 species